CUUGGGGUUGACUGAAAUACAUGUGAUUGGCAAUGCUUGGCACUGCAGAAACUUCUUCAAAGCUGAGCAGUGUCUGGAUAAAAGUCACGGGUCUGGUCUGUCUUUUCACAUAAGUCAGAAGAAAGCCUCAGGGAAGUAGGAAAUCUCAUUAGGAAUUAGGUUGGGAUCAAAAUGACCUCCCAGGUGAUCGUGACAGGCCAGGUCAGUCUAAGGGAAAAUUGCUUGAUGAACAGAGCCACCUCAGACUUCUUUGAAGAUAAGUACCGCAUGAAAUUUUGAUAUUACUAAGUAUUUAAUAGAUCUAAUUUACAAAGCACUGUUGCUCCCAAUUCCCAGAGUGCCAAAAAUCCUGCAACCCAUUUCUUUACAAGAACGACUUCUACUCAUUCAUGGGUUUUAAUGCAGCAAGCUGUUUAACAGCUGCACAAAAUGUUUUAGGACAGGAAAACUAAGCCCUGCAGAAGCGUAUCAGGCUCUGCUAUACCUUCAGCAAGUCUGCAGAGUUAUGUAGCUCUGAUAGAACACGAGGUACUGUUUUUUUUACUCAGCCCUACACAUGAAGUCAUCACAGAGAUCCCGGCUCACUUAAGAGCUACCAACAGGACAGGCAACCUCUGCACAGGGGAACUCAAACUGGAGGACAGAGACAGCUCCAGCAGCGGUGGGAAGCCAUAUGCUGUACACAGCCCUCAGCUCAUUCCCCUUCUGGUCCAACACAUCCCAUCUGUGCACAUCCCAAUAGAGAUGAGGGCAUUUGAAUUGGUCAGAGCUUGGUUCUUUGUGAUCCCUGCCCAGAAUUCUGCAACCCGAUGUCACAAUGGCACCAAACCACCCCUGCCAGUCUCCCCCCAAGUCAGGGUGGACGGCAUCCAGCCCCUUACAAAAGGGUUUUGAAGACAUGAAUCGUCAUGCAGGACCAAAUAGAAAAGUACCCAGGAUUUCGGCGAAGCCAACCACAACGACAGCACCAGCACCAGCACGUGCAGCUGGCAGCCCCAGCCCUCUGCCCCAGCGCACCCGCUCCCACCCCUCCAGGGCCAUCCGGUACAUCCUGCUGGACAGCUGCAGGAACAUCCCAGCAUCCCACAUCCUAGCCAGCGUGGACUCCCACAAGGCCCACAGAGGGUCUGCCUCCUGCCACCCCAUGAACCACGUCCCCAGCACAGCCGUGGGCUGCUGCUCCCUAUUCCCCAGUUACCUCCCAGUGUUCCUCACCUUCCCCAUCCUCCCCAGGAAGCCAACCCAGGGCUCAGGGCACUCUCCGGACACUAGGAAGAGGCUGCCAGUGUUCCUGCAGCUGUGUGGAGAGGAUGUGCCAACCUCAUCCCCCAGAGAUGUGCGUCUGCAAACCUCCAGCCAUGAGUGGAAGGUGCAGCCCAAUGCCAAAGCAUCGAGGGAGGGCAUGAGAGGGCAGAGGAUGAAGAAGAAGAUGGCGGGGUGCACCCCGAGUGACAAGGCAUGA
rnacentral:lncRNA from 1 species